CCUACGGGAGGCAGCAGUGAGGAAUAUUGGUCAAUGGACGAGAGUCUGAACCAGCCAAGUAGCGUGAAGGAUGACUGCCCUAUGGGUUGUAAACUUCUUUUAUAUGGGAAUAAAACGUUCCACGUGUGGGAUUUUGUAUGUACCAUAUGAAUAAGGGUCGGCUAACUCCGUGCCAGCAGCCGCGGUAAUACGGAGGAUCCGAGCGUUAUCCGGAUUUAUUGGGUUUAAAGGGAGCGUAGGUGGAUUGUUAAGUCAGUUGUGAAAGUUUGCGGCUCAACCGUAAAAUUGCAGUUGAAACUGGCAGUCUUGAGUACAGUAGAGGUGGGCGGAAUUCGUGGUGUAGCGGUGAAAUGCUUAGAUAUCACGAAGAACUCCGAUUGCGAAGGCAGUUCACUGGACUGCAACUGACACUGAGGCUCGAAAGUGUGGGUAUCAAACAGGAUUAGAUACCCGUGUAGUC
rnacentral:rRNA from 1 species